rnacentral:rRNA from 1 species
UACAGAGGGUGCGAGCGUUAAUCGGAAUUACUGGGCGUAAAGCGUGCGUAGGUGGAUAUUUAAGUCGAAUGUGAAAUCCCCGGGCUUAACCUGGGAACUGCAUCCGAUACUGGGUAUCUAGAGUAUGGUAGAGGAAAGUGGAAUUCCCGGUGUAGCGGUGAAAUGCGUAGAUAUCGGGAGGAACAUCAAUGGCGAAGGCAACUUUCUGGACUAAUACUGACACUGAGGCACGAAAGCGUGGGGAGCAAACAGG